CCAAACUAUCCAAGCAAACACUAUAAAACCUAGAAAAUAUAGAAAUUGAUAUGUUGAGCUGAUUACAUGGAUGAUUUAGGUUUAAAGGAUAGCAAAUGAUGUUAUGCGUGGAGGAAGUGGACCAGAUAGAGGAAGAUUAGAGGAUAGGAAACAGAGAGCCGCUUGAGCUAGUAACAUUAAUGCUAGAAGAUGCUUGGACUGCAACCAUGUUUUUUUAGCCAACCGUUGCUCUAUAAAUUAUGUUUUAUGUUUUUUUAGCCAAACGGUUUCAACUUAUAUACUCUGUCCGAGAGAAGAGGGUGACUAGUUUUUUAUAGAGCAACUCCAAGGACCUUUAUGGGGUCUAAGGAACAGAGUUUGUAGAGCAUUUCCAAAUACAAUUGUAGAGAAUUUU
rnacentral:lncRNA from 1 species